rnacentral:lncRNA from 1 species
CAGAGCCCACUGCCUGCAGCUGCAUCUCUGCUUCCUUCCCUCCCACACAGAGCUCCAAGGGUGCUCCUGCCAUCCCCUGCCCACCCCUAAAAUGCCAAAUACAUUUGGCAGCGGGAUGGAGGAAUCCCAGCACGCUGCUUCCUCUGUCCCCCAGGGCUCCCGUCUGAGCAAUGGGAAUGCUGAAUCAGGACCAGAGAAGGCCAGAUCAGAAGCUGCAGCUGAGACUGAUGGACCUGCACAACUGCAAAAGUGCCGUGGCUAUAAGCAGCGGAAGGCAUAUCAAACUGGGUUACUUGCGAGCACACCAGGACUGGAGUGAAG